rnacentral:rRNA from 1 species
CCUACGGGAGGCAGCAGUGGGGAAUAUUGGGCAAUGGGCGCAAGCCUGACCCAGCAACGCCGCGUGAAGGAAGAAGGCUUUCGGGUUGUAAACUUCUUUUCUGAGGGACGAAGAAAGUGCCGGUACCUCAGGAAUAAGCCACGGCUAACUACGUGCCAGCAGCCGCGGUAAUACGUAGGUGGCAAGCGUUAACCGGAUUUAUUGGGUGUAAAGGGCGUGUAGGCGGGAAGGCAAGUCAGAUGUGAAAACUCAGGGCUCAACCCUGAGCCUGCAUUUGAAACUGUUUUUCUUGAGUUCUGGAGAGGCAAUCGGAAUUCCGGGUGUAGCGGUGAAAUGCGUAGAUAUACGGAGGAACACCAGUGGCGAAGGCAGAUUGCUGGACAGUAACUGACGCUGAGGCGCGAAAGCGUGGGGAGCAAACAGGAUUAGAUACCCGUGUAGUC